CACAACAAAAAGGGCAGCUCUAACUUCUAUUCACCCCUAGUACAAUACGUAGCAUAUGAUAUUAGCAACAAUAAUUAAUAACAACAAAUAAAAGAUUACAUGGGACCCUUAUCAGGAAAUGAUAAAAUGAUGAUGCAGAUAUUGUGGUAGGAAAUGGUGAUCACGAUGAUGUUAACUAGGUUUUGAAAUGGUGAUUAAGAGAUUGCAUUACUCAAGGAAACCUAUUUUUGUCAAAAUAGCAUUUCUCACUUUGGUAAGAUCUCUCCCUUUGAGUGUCCUUCCAAUCCCUUCGCACACAGAGAAAGAAGAAAUUGGACUCCUUGCAAGCUUCUUAGCUAUCCAC
rnacentral:misc_RNA from 1 species